rnacentral:rRNA from 1 species
CUUGGGCUGCCAACGUGCUACAAUGGCCGGUACAAUGGGCUUGCGAUACCCUACGGUGGAGCGAAUCCCUAAAAGCCGGUCUCUUUUCAGAUUGGAUUCGGCAUCUCGUGCCUGUGAAUGUGGAGUCUCUCUUAAUCUCGCAAUAUCCAUGCCGCCGCGAAAACUUUCCCGGCGCUUCUUUACACCGCCCGUCUCACCAUGAAUUUCGUUACCCCCCAAAACUUGCGGCCUAACCCUUGUGGGAGGGAGUCAGUG